CACGUAGGGGGCAAGCGUUGUCCGGAUUUAUUGGGCGUAAAGAGCUCGUAGGCGGCUCACUAAGUCGGGUGUGAAAACUCUGGGCUCAACCCAGAGACGCCACCUGAUACUGGUGUGGCUAGAGUCCGGUAGGGGAGCGUGGAAUUCCGAGUGUAGAGGUGAAAUUCGUAGAUAUUCGGAGGAACACCAGUGGCGAAGGCGGCUCACUGGUCCGGUUCUGACGCUGAGGCGCGAAAGCGUGGGGAGCAAACAGG
rnacentral:rRNA from 1 species